GUGAGGAAUAUUGCGCAAUGGAGGCAACUCUGACGCAGCCAUGCCGCGUGCAGGAAGAAGGCGCUACGCGUUGUAAACUGCUUUUAACCGGGAAGAAACCCCAGGACGUGUCCUGGGUUGACGGUACCGGCGGAAUAAGCACCGGCUAACUUCGUGCCAGCAGCCGCGGUAAUACGAAGGGUGCAAGCGUUAUCCGGAUUCAUUGGGUUUAAAGGGUGCGUAGGCGGAGCGUUAAGUCAGUGGUGAAAUCCUGCAGCUUAACUGUAGACUUGCCAUUGAUACUGGCGCUCUUGAGUGCGCUUGAAGUGGGCGGAAUGUGCCGUGUAGCGGUGAAAUGCUUAGAUAUGGCACAGAACACCAAUUGCGAAGGCAGCUCACUAAGGCGAUACUGACGCUGAGGCACGAAAGCGUGGGGAUCGAACAGGAUUAGAAACCCGGGUAGUCC
rnacentral:rRNA from 1 species